AUAAGCAAUUAUACAGCGAAACUGCGAAUGGCUCAUUAUAUAAGUUAUCGUUUAUUUGAUAGUACCUUACUACUUGGAUAACCGUGGUAAUUCUAGAGCUAAUACAUGCGCAAAACCCCGACUUCGGAAGGGGUGUAUUUAUUAGAUUAAAAGCCAACGCCCUCCGGGGCUUCUUGGUGAUUCAUGAUAACUCCUCGAAUCGCACGGCCUUGCGCCGGCGAUGGUUCAUUCAAAUUUCUUCCCUAUCAACUUUCGAUGUUUGGGUAUUGGCCAAACAUGGUUGCAACGGGUAACGGAGGGUUAGGGCUCGACCCCGGAGAAGGAGCCUGAGAAACGGCUACUACAUCCAAGGAAGGCAGCAGGCGCGCAAAUUACCCAAUCCCGACACGGGGAGGUAGUGACAAUAAAUACUGAUACAGGGCUCUUUCGGGUCUUGUAAUUGGAAUGAGUACAAUUUAAAUCCCUUAACGAGGAACAAUUGGAGGGCAAGUCUGGUGCCAGCAGCCGCGGUAAUUCCAGCU
rnacentral:rRNA from 1 species